rnacentral:rRNA from 1 species
AGGCAGACCACAAAAAAGAACGUCCCAGUUCGGAUUACAGCCUGCAACCCGGCUGUAUGAAGCUGGAAUCGCUAGUAAUCGCAGAUCAGAAUGCUGCGGUGAAUACGUUCCCGGGUCUUGUACACACCGCCCGUCACACCAUGGGAGCCAGGAAUGCCCGAAGCCAGUGGCCUAACCGCAAGGGAGGAGCUGUCGAAGGCAGGCCCGGUAACCGGGGUGAAGUCGUAACAAGGUAGC